AGUGCAAGAUUUCAGAAGAGAAUCCAGGCUUGUUUUCUAGAAGUUACAGAAAGGACUUCCAAUAUCAUAGUGACUGCUUCAUAACUUAGAUGGAGGAGAUAAUAUCAUGCCGGGCCAUCCACAUUCCACAUGAAGCAGAGAAAGCAGUGAAAGUGGUCAACUGAAGAAACUUGGUAAGGCAAUGGGAGAAACUGGAGAUACAGCCACAGAUGUAGUAGCUUCCACAGGAGCAGAAGGAUCUGUCUUACAAGGAGAUAGCAUUGCCUCACUUCAGACUUCCUUGAAGUUCUGUGUUCAGUGCAGACUUUGAAGCUGAUCCUGGACUCUAGAGGGCAGCACCAGGAGUACACUGAAGAGUGGAGGAACGCUUCUGGCCCAUGCGCAAGUUUCUAGUUGUGCCUUGCCAUUGCUGAAGAAAAUGUACCCUGAUGCCUGCUCAAUCGUGACAGAAAGAAGGUGACUGCCUCUGUUGGAAAGAUAGAAACUAACUGGAAAAGGGGAACUCUGAAAACCAAGAUUUGAAAGCUGUGGUUCUGGGAUAUAAAUUUGUUAGAGAUCCAGUUUCAACAGAAAACUGGUGGCUUUCUUUAAGCAUGCUAUAUACUGAUUCACAAAAGUUGUUGGAAAAUAGUAAGAAAGAAUCUGCAGGUGGAUUGGCAAUCUCCAAAGCAGAACGUGAAGAAUAUCUGAUUACAACUGGCUAGGCACAAGG
rnacentral:lncRNA from 1 species